UGACCUCAAAUCAGGUAGGAUUACCCGCUGAACUUAAGCAUAUCAAUAAGCG
rnacentral:rRNA from 1 species